AGCGUCGUACUCACUUGAUACUAAAAUUGGAACGAUACAGAAAGAUUAGCAUAGCUCCUGCGCAAGGAUGACAGCUGAAAAACGGCGAUUAAUGCGGCUUCU